rnacentral:misc_RNA from 1 species
UGCGCGAGCGCGCUCGGGUGCUCGCAUUGACGUUGCUCGUUGCACAAUCAACUCUUGUCCUGUCGAGCCUUGUGCGAAUUGGAGAGCUACGUGAGAUACAAUCGACGAGAGAAAACUGGCGGUCAACAGUCACAAGUCAGUCUAUUCGCUCCGAAAGCCGCAGAAUCGAGCACGAUGCCAUUCGCCCAGCGGCUCACCACGAUCGACGAUGCAUGCGAAGUGACCGGCCUGGGACGCACGAAGCUUUACG